rnacentral:rRNA from 1 species
AACGAACGCUGGCGGCAUGCCUAACACAUGCAAGUCGAACGAAGGCUUCGGCCUUAGUGGCGCACGGGUGAGUAACGCGUGGAAAACUGCCUAUUGGUGGGGAAUAACGACGGGAAACUGUCGCUAAUACCGCAUAAGCCCUUCGGGGGAAAGAUUUAUCGCCGAUAGAUGUGCCCGCGCCCGAUUAGCUAGUUGGUGAGGUAAUGGCUCACCAAGGCGACGAUCGGUAGCUGGUCUGAGAGGAUGAUCAGCCACACUGGGACUGAGACACGGCCCAGACUCCUACGGGAGGCAGCAGUGGGGAAUAUUGGACAAUGGGCGAAAGCCUGAUCCAGCAAUGCCGCGUGAGUGAUGAAGGCCUUAGGGUUGUAAAGCUCUUUCGGGUGGGACGAUGAUGACGGUACCACCAGAAGAAGCCCCGGCUAACUUCGUGCCAGCAGCCGCAGUAA